ensembl:snRNA U1 U1 spliceosomal RNA
AUACUUACCUGGCAGGAGCGACACCAUGAUCAUGAAGGUGGUUUGCUCAGGGUGAGGUAUUGCCAUUGCACUUCGGCGUACUGACCUCUGCGAAUUCCCCAAAUGUGGGAAUCUCGACUGCAUAAUUUAUGGUAGUGGGGGACUGCGUCCGCGCUCUCCCCUG